rnacentral:lncRNA from 1 species
UUACUGUUUGGGUAAUCAUGAAGUUUGCGAUCCUGUUCCUGCUGGCUACGGUCGUGGUCUCCACCAUAGCGGAGUCUAGCUUUAGACUGCGAAGUGCACAUAUGGCUGUGCAGAAACGAGCUGUAUUGGGUACUAAUUGUGUGAAAAACUCCGAUUGUGACGUAUUUUGCGUUCCAUUCUUCGGAAGCUGCGUCAACGGUUACUGCUCCUGUCCAAUAAUACCUGGAAACAUCCGUCGCUACUAAUGUACAACAGACU